UCAAAUCAUGCAUAUAAGAAAUCAGCAAAGACUCAAAUAUAUAUCAUAGAUAAUCUGAUCACAACUCCACAAUUCAACGGAUCUCGACAAACACACCGCCAAAGAAGAUUACAUCGGAUCGAUCCCCAUGAAGAUCAUGGAGAACUUUGUAUUGAAGACCAAAGAAAGAGAAGAAGCCAUCUAGCUACUAACUACGGACCCGUAGGUAUGAAGUGAACUACUCAUGAGUCAUUGGAGGGGCGAUGAUGAUGAUGAAGAAGCCCUCCACCUCCAAAGUCCCCUCCGGCAGGGCGCCGGGAAGGGUCUCCAGAUGAGAUCUCGUGGAAACGGAAGCUUGCGGCGGC
rnacentral:lncRNA from 1 species